rnacentral:rRNA from 1 species
GAUGAACGCUGGCGGCGUGCCUAAUACAUGCAAGUCGAGCGAACAGACGAGGAGCUUGCUCCUUCGACGUUAGUGGCGGACGGGUGAGUAACACGUAGGUAACCUACCUAUAAGACUGGGAUAACUUCGGGAAACCGGAGCUAAUACCGGAUAAUAUUUCGAACCGCAUGGUUCGAUAGUGACAGAUGGCUUUGCUAUCACUUAUAGAUGGACCUGCGCCGUAUUAGCUAGUUGGUAAGGUAACGGCUUACCAAGGCAACGAUACGUAGCCGACCUGAGAGGGUGAUAGGCCACACUGGAACUGAGACACGGUCCAGACUCCUACGGGAGGCAGCAGUAGGGAAUCUUCCGCAAUGGGCGAAAGCCUGACGGAGCAACGCCGCGUGAGUGAUGAAGGUCUUCGGAUCGUAAAACUCUGUUAUUAGGGAAGAACAAACGUGUAAGUAACUGUGCAAGUCUUGACGGUACCUAAUCAGAAAGCCACGGCUAACUACGUG